AAUAAACCGGAUUCCAACUUCACCACCCUGCGUUCUCGUGUCUGGAGGAGCCCAGAAAAAGCCAGCUAGGUGGCGCAUAGCAUCUUCCUCCAUUGCCACAUAAGCCAUUUUCCUUUUUCUUCAAAACUAUUUCAUGGUUUAACCUUCGAUCCAUACAACACAGAGUUAAAAGGACUUUCACGGACUUCCACGGACUUUCCCAGUACUCUCACGGACUUCCACGGACCUUCAAAGACGCCCAUCGCGUUUCACCUGGACGUGUUCCAGCCUCCAUCAUCCUGUGUGUGACGCAGUGACGAUGAAGAACCCACUCACUCUAACCCCUAUGCUAAUGCUAUAUAAUAAUGCUCAUUACUGCAUUAACUAAUGCUAAGGUUAAGAAGGUGUGAUUAUAAUUCAUCUUUGAUCACCAUGGUUUCAUGCAAGACUUUGAGUCCCUCGAUUGCCUUGUGGAUGUAAUCCCAAAUAAGCUUAUAGUCUCAGGGGACUUGAGCCAUUUAGCUUUUAGUUAAAUAACGAGGGAUAAUCUCCAUCACUGCCUCAAAUAGCUUCUUGACUGCCGCAAACUCAGGGCCAAUGAUUUGUAUGACGUUCAAUAUAUUGUUUGUUACACGAAUUUGCUCGUCUAUGAGGCUGUUAGUAACCAUCUCAAAAUCUUCUUCCUGGAAGUGCAGAGAACAACAGGUCGAAGUUAGUAUUUUAUAGCGGCAUAAGCUAUAUUGUUACCUUAUUGUGCUGCAUAUUGCAGUGUCAUAUCUUUUAUUCAUUGUUUAGAUAUUUCUUUACUUCAAGUUUUACAGUUUGUGUUGUUUUUUGUUAUCAGCUAUUUCUGCACCAUGUAAGAGAUAAUGUUCGGCGAGCCGGACAUUAAUGUGAGAUAAACUGACGUAAAAGGUACUGACAGCACCGUGCGAGACUUGACCCACCUUCAAGGAAUUGAUGUACAAUUCGACAUCUUCAAUCACCAUCUUGAAGUCAUCCUGAGAGUUGAGAAGUCAUAAGUUAGUCUAUUAGCAGUUUUAAAGACAUUUGUUCCCUUGACCAGUCGUCCAACUGGUCUGACCCCUUAAGUAGCAUAACAGCGGCUCAAAGAGGUGGAAAUGAUGCAUGGGAAAUAAUUAAAUUAAAUCUAAUUAAAUUAAAGGUGC
ensembl:lncRNA